GCCGGGCGUGGUGGUGGGCGCCUGUAGUCCCAGCUACUCGGGAGGCUGAGGCAGGAGAAUCGCUUGAACCCAGGAGGUAGAGCUUGCAGUGAGCCGAGAUCGCACCAUUGCACUCCAGCCUGGGUGACAGAGCGAGACCCUGUCUCAA
ensembl:misc_RNA Metazoa_SRP Metazoan signal recognition particle RNA